rnacentral:lncRNA from 1 species
AGGUAGGCAGCCAGUGCAGGCCCAGCAGCAAGAGAAGGAGCAGGAGAGGCUGGAAUAUUCUGGCUUGAAAACAGCAGCUGUGUAAUAAAGCCGGGCUGGUUUGUCUCAGGGCCCCGCUGUCCCUUCUCCCCGCCUCAAAGUAGCAGCAUGAAUCAGUUCACUGCGGCAAUGGUCCAGGCGAUGUGACUUGCAUCCCCAUCAGCUACCUGAUUGCGGUCCCUGGAUGCAUGAGGCGCUGGAUGUGCCUGGCAUACCAAACUGCCCGCCUCUGUGCCGCAGCUACUGGUAAUGAAGAUCACCGGCCCCGCCCAGCACUGCGGACAGAGCCGGGCAUUCUUCAAGGCCACCACUGGUCUUUUAUCUUGUCCAAGGCUCUGGGAUAGUCACCGAAAUCCUUGGGCUGCUUUUGACGGGGGCCACCAGCCUGUCUCAAAGAUGCCCUGACAAGCCCCUCCAGCCCUGGGCAGACAAAGGCUUGAAAGGAGAGGAAUUGCACACGGUCCAGACGCUGCUGUUUCUAAUACGUUAUUUUGACACACAAUUAACUGCAAAAUUUGCUCUAAGCUAAGAGCUCGGGCCCUCACAGGAUUCGUACAGCACAAUUCAAGCAGGAUUUGGUUCUGUGAAACCUCAUUUUUCCUGAAGGGCUAGGGAUUGCCGGCUCCCCACGGUGAUGCCACCCCUCUCAGGGCUGGCUGUGGGCACCGAUCAGAGAGGAAGCAUCAGCCCGCCCACAGCCCAGCAUGGGGCCAGGGGAACCAUGGCACGAGUCAUGGGAGGGGGUGGAUAAAGCUUGCACAAAACCGUCCAACAGAGCUCCCUGAACAACAACCCUUCCUAAAAUGGUGUCGCUUAUCCUCCGCUGACAAAAGCCUGAUUUGAGCUCUCCCCGGAGGUGGGAUGAAGCGAACACAUUGCCUUUUAUCUCCCCGUCGCUUUGAGAGGGGAAGACAACUGGUACAGAGCAUGGUGGGGAGCCCUGGAGAAGGCACUCUUGAAUGAAAGGCAUAAUCUCCGGCUCCCCCAAACCAGGAGGGGAGGCAGCUUUCAUCCCCCACCGCGGCCCGCUCCCCCCGUCCUGGAGGCAUCUGAAUGGGAGUGGGGAGCUUGGAAGGAGAGGCUCCUGCCGCUGCACAAUGCCACACAAUAUUGCUUCUCUCCAGGAGCCCAGAGGAGGCCAUGGGUGUACAGCAUCUUACUUUGAAACCAAUUCUCCAAUCAGCUAUUUAAAUAAGAAAUAUAAUCUCAUUGAACACCCA